rnacentral:rRNA from 1 species
AUUGAACGCUGGCGGCAGGCCUAACACAUGCAAGUCGAACGAGUGGCGGACGGGUGAGUAAUGUCUGGGAAACUGCCCGAUGGAGGGGGAUAACUACUGGAAACGGUAGCUAAUACCGCAUACCAUCGGAUGUGCCCCGAUGGGUUAAGCUUGUAGGUGAGGUAACGGCUCACCUAGGCGACGAUCCCUAGCUGGUCUUAGAGGAUGACCAACCACACGUGAACUGAGUCACAGACCAGACUCCUACGAGAGGCAGCAGUAGGGAAUAUUGCACAAUGGGCACAAGCCUGAUGCAUCCAUGCCGCGUGUAUGAAGAAGGCCUUCGGGUUGAAAAGUACUUUCAGCGGGGAGGCGUUACCCGCAGAAGAAGCACCGGCUAACUCCGUGCCAGCAGCCGCGGUAAUUC